UGGGCUGGGGCUCAGCGGAAGAGCACUCGCCCACCAUGUGUGAGGCACUGAGUUCGAUCCUCAGCAUCACAU
rnacentral:tRNA from 1 species